rnacentral:rRNA from 1 species
UAACACGUAGGUAAUCUACCUCUGGAUGGGGAAUAACACCGAGAAAUCGGUGCUAAUACCGCAUAAUGCAGCGGCACCUAAUGGUGACAGUUGUUAAAGCGGGGGAUCGAAAGACCUCGCGUCUAAAGAGGAGCCUGCGGCGGAUUAGCUUGCUGGUAAGGUAACGGCUUACCAAGGCGAUGAUCCGUAGCCGGCCUGAGAGGGCGGUCGGCCACACUGACACUGACAUACGGGUCAGACUCCUACGGGAGGCAGCAGUCGGGAAUUUUGGGCAAUGGGCGAAAGCCUGACCCAGCAACGCCGCGUGAAGGAUGAAAUCCCUCGGGAUGUAAACUUCGCAAGAACGGGAAGAAUAAGUUGGUGCGAAUAUCACCAGCGAUGACGGUACCGUUUGUAAGCUCCGGCUAACUCCGUGCCAGCAGCCGCGGUAAUACGGGGGGAGCAAGCGUUGUUCGGAUUUACUGGGCGUAAAGGGCGCGUAGGCGGCACUGCAAGUCGGUUGUGAAAUCUCCGGGCUUAACCCGGAAAGGUCAACCGAUACUGCGGGGCU